AUUGAACGCUGGCGGCAGGCCUAACACAUGCAAGUCGAGCGGAUGACGGGAGCCUGCUCCUUGAUUCAGCGGCGGACGGGUGAGUAAUGCCUAGGAAUCUGCCUGGUAGUGGGGGACAACGUUUCGAAAGGAACGCUAAUACCGCAUACGUCCUACGGGAGAAAGCAGGGGACCUUCGGGCCUUGCGCUAUCAGAUGAGCCUAGGUCGGAUUAGCUAGUUGGUGGGGUAAUGGCUCACCAAGGCGACGAUCCGUAACUGGUCUGAGAGGAUGAUCAGUCACACUGGAACUGAGACACGGUCCAGACUCCUACGGGAGGCAACAGUGGGGAAUAUUGGACAAUGGGCGAAAGCCUGAUCCAGCCAUGCCGCGUGUGUGAAGAAGGUCUUCGGAUUGUAAAGCACUUUAAGUUGGGAGGAAGGGCAGUAAGUUAAUACCUUGCUGUUUUGACGUUACCGACAGAAUAAGCACCGGCUAACUCUGUGCCAGCAGCCGCCGUAA
rnacentral:rRNA from 1 species